rnacentral:rRNA from 1 species
GUCUACAGCCAUGCCACCCUGAACGUUCCCAAUCUCAUCUGAUCUCAGAAGCUAAGUAGGGUCGGGCCUGGUUAGUACUUGGAUGGGAGACCACCUAGGAAGACCAGGUGCUGUAGGCA